rnacentral:rRNA from 1 species
UGACCAGCGACUCGCAGAUGGGCUUGUCGCCGUGGAGGAGCACGGGCACCCUGUGGUGGACGGGGUUGUGGCGGAGCAGCAGCUCGCUCUUGUUGGAGAGGUCUUCCGUAAUGAGCUCGUAGGCGACUCCCUUGAGGCGCAGGGCCACCUCCGCACGGUGGACGAACGGGCUGCCGAAGGCGCCGAUGAGCUUCACCGGUUCAGUCAUCUU